GCUCAUAGCGUAUAUUAAGUUGUUGCAGUUAAACGUCCGUAGUCAAACUUUAGUCUUACCGGCGCGGUGGCCUGGUCUUCAUUGAUCAAGCUCGCUGUCGCUGGAGACUCCACGUCCGCUGGCUCCUGUCCUCGUGGCUAGGGUUUUGUGGACAAUUACCAUGAGCAAAUCAGAGUGUUUAAAGCAGGCUUUUAAGCUUGAAUGUGUUAGCAUGGAAUAAUGAAAUAUGACUUUAGUCCUAUUUUCGUUGGUUUGGUACUAUAGUAAUGAUUAAUAGAAACGGUUGGGGGCAUUUGUAUUUGGCCGCUAGAGGUGAAAUUCUUGGAUUGGCCGAAGACAAACUACUGCGAAAGCAUUUGACCCAGGACGUUUUCAUUGAUCAGGUCUAAAGUUAAGGGAUCGAAGACGAUUAGAUACCGUCGUAGUCUUAACCACAAACUAUGCCGACUAGAGAUUGGGCGUGUUUCUUUUGACUCGCUCAGCAUCUUAGCGAAAGUAAAGUUUUUGGUUCUGGGGGGAGUAUGGGACGCAAGGCUGAAACUUAAAGGAAUUGACGGAAGGGCACCACCAGGAGUGGAGCCUGCGGCUUAAUUUGACUCAACACGGGGAAACUCACCAGGUCCAGACAUAGUAAGAUUGACAGAUUGAAAGCUCUUUCUAGAUUCUAUGGGUGGUGGUGCAUGGCCGUUCUUAGUUCGUGGAGUGAUUUGUCUGGUUAAUUCCGAUAACGAACGAGACCUUAUUCUGCUAAUUACACAGGCUACUCUUUCGGGUUGGUUUAUGUUUAUCAUUUAACUGUGUCUUAGAGAGACUAUCUGCUUGAAGCAGAGGGAAGUUUUAGGCAAUAACAGGUCUGUGAUGCCCUUAGAUGUUCUGGGCCGCACGCGCGUACACUGAUGAAGUCAGCGAGUUUAUAACCUUGGCCGGAAGGUCUGGGUAAACUUUUGAAACUUCAUCGUGCUGGGGAUAGAGCAUUGUAAUUAUUGCUCUUCAACGAGGAAUUCCUAGUAAGCGCGGUCAUCAGCUCGCGUUGAUUACGUCCCUGCCCUUUGUACACACCGCCCGUCGCUACUACCGAUUGAAUGGUUAUAGUGAGCAUAUGGGAUCCGCAGAAUUUGACUGGCAACAGUCAUUUUCUGCAGAAACUAUGGCAAACCUAGGCUAUUA
rnacentral:rRNA from 1 species